rnacentral:lncRNA from 1 species
CUUGUGGGGCAGGUCAUACCAAUAGCUCAGGCUUGAAAUCCCUGGGAGACUGGAACUCAGAGCCUGCCCCUUUCUUACUUUACUCCUCCUCUUCCAUGACAGAAACAUCACCACAUCUUGGAUAACCACAGCUUUAAGAAGAAGGGCAAGAACAAUUGCCUUGAUGGGGGACAAUGGCUGAUGUUCCCAUUCCUCUGCCAGCUGACACUGAGCUCAUCAGUAAGGAUCCCAGGGUCCAGCACUUCAGGGUGACAUCACCUGCAGUUCUGUCCUAUGUGUCUUUGGGUACAUUCCUGAUUUUCAAAACAUCCAGAAAGCUAAGCAAGGAUAUACAAAUGGAAAAGGAUGAAGAUGUAUGUCACAGAUUCUCUCAUGCUACUCUUGGCUGUGCUGACCCUGACUAGCCAUCCAGAGGUUGGAAGAAUCAACAGCAGAGCAGGGACUCAAGGAUGGAACAUGUGCACCAUGGAUGGAUCAGUAGAAGUCAGAGUACUGGGAGGAGAAAACACAGGAGGCUCUGUGUUUUCAGAAAGUAACUUCAGAAACUGUUCCACAUCUACAACAAUAGCAUAACUGAUACAAGAGGAGCUGCAGGUCUGUGAACACAGCUUUGAGUUCAAUCGCCACAUUGGCAGGAGGAUCUUCAGGGUCACCAGAGGUCAAGCCGACGGCAAAGCUUUCGGGGUGGAAUCCUCAUGUCUACAUGCAAGACACUGAAGAACUACGACUCCUGUUGGCUAUGAUUGGGAAAAGAACACUUGAUGGAGAAACUACCUUCAACAGUUUUCCUCUAGGGUCUGGAACAAUUUUUACACUGGGCAGAUUAUCAACCACCUACUGAGGAUUAAAACUGUGGAGCAGCUCAUACCCCCUCCAGCCCCCACAAAUUGUGUUUGGAUUAGGAAAAGCAGCCGGGUUGUUGAACAGAUCUUCUUCCUCAAUUGUGUAUUGAGACAUCCAGUGAAGCUCAGUUAUGGAAACAUUCAGCCAACAAGUCACAGAGCCCUCUCUAAACUUGGAACACAGCACCAAGCUUCUGGCAAAAACAUGAAAUACGAACCACAUCUGACCCCAGGAUCUGUGUAGUGAGAUUUUUCAUUGAUGUGAAAAUAAACCAUGAUCAAAAUACAUCUUUUUUUCCUUCUUUUUUUCAAUAUGUAAGUCUUUAUUCUCCUAAAAGAGCCCAAAUUGUCCUUGUGAUGAGGACCUUGUUUCUGGAGCUAGGAAACUGAGGCCUCACUCAUCUAUCAACCUGCUGCGCUGUUACCUUCUCAGACAUAUAGAGGCCAUCCAAAAACUUCCUGAUACCCUUGUUUUUAACUGUUGUG